rnacentral:tRNA from 1 species
GGGCGGAUGGCGGAAUUGGCAUACGCGAUAGCCUUAGGAGCUAUUGGGGAAACUCUUGGAGGUUCAACUCCUCUUCCGCCCA